GAUGAACGCUGGCGGCGUGCUUAACACAUGCAAGUCGAACGGUGAAGGCGGAGCUUGCUCUGCUGGAUCAGUGGCGAACGGGUGAGUAACACGUGAGCAAUCUGCCCCUGACUCUGGGAUAAGCGCUGGAAACGGCGUCUAAUACUGGAUACGAGCUGCGAAGGCAUCUUCAGCAGCUGGAAAGAAUUUCGGUCAGGGAUGAGCUCGCGGCCUAUCAGCUUGUUGGUGAGGUAAUGGCUCACCAAGGCGUCGACGGGUAGCCGGCCUGGGAGGGUGACCGGCCACACUGGGACUGAGACACGGCCCAGACUCCUACGGGAGGCGGCAGUGGGGAAUAUUGCACAAUGGGCGAAAGCCUGAUGCAGCAACGCCGCGUGAGGGACGACGGCCUUCGGGUUGUAAACCUCUUUUAGCAGGGAAGAAGCGAAAGUGACGGUACCUGCAGAAAAAGCGCCGGCUAACUACGUG
rnacentral:rRNA from 1 species